ensembl:lincRNA
GAGCAUAUAGAGUUCUAAACGUGCAUGCUUUCUCCAAGCCAAGGUGUGUUAAACAUCUAAAUUGGAGUUAUGCACGCUCGGUUAAUAUCUAUGGCUUUUUUAUGCUUACCAUUGAGAUUUCAAUUCAUGAAGGCAGUAACGACAACAGCGAAGACAGUUUCUUAAGGCUUUUCCUGCACUUCUGUGCCCUCUAUUUGAUCAUCUGCCAAGGUUUGUGAAUAGUGCCAAAUCAAACAGCACAGCAUCUCUAUGAGGCUCCUCCUGGGAGUUAAGGAAUUCUGCAGUUGGAGCACGGGCCCAUUGUCACGGACAGCCACUGCUGCUAUGGAGUUACCAUCUCCAAUGAAGGAAAGAGGAAAGGGAGGUGUGAGAAGCACUGCAGCCACGCCAGUUUCUUUAACAGGAAAGCAAAGGUUUCCAGAGACCACUCUUUUCAGUGACAGACAUCUCCAUGGGCUGUUCUUUGUGACCACCGGCUGUGUUGUGAGAACUGUUUUGGUCUUGCUUUUCUUCAUGCCUGUCAAAGGCCACAGAGUGUUGAAGCCUGCAAACGCAGCCUGAAUCAGCACGGACCCCGGAGACUUUCAACAGCAUCUCAAUAAAACUUUCAAUUAUCUCCAUUUUAUACACAGUAUUUCAGUUGUGGGUGACACACUUCGUCUGAACAAAAUUAUAUUAAAUAACACCUUGAAUGAAAAGGUCCAUUCAAACAGAGAAAUAAUACAGAGAAUUAUACCCAAUAUCUUGUUUUUUAUUAUACAUUAUGAAUAAAAUCACUACUAAAAGCCAAGAAAAAUCAUCAAUGUUCUUUUUAGAAUCACAAAUGUCCCAACAAGCUUUGAUUUGAAAACCCCUUGUGGCCUAAGCACCUUAAGCUAUCUUGCAGAAAAUUCUAUGUGUGUUAAAACACUUGCAGGGACUACUUUUCCAAAGAAAUGAUUAUUAAAGGACAUUAGUGAAACAUCUUUAUAUUGACUAAUUUUAGAGCUAUCCGUUCACUCUUUAUUCUUUGAAUGUGUUUAUCUUGUUUUAUUAGCAACUUGUUGCUAGAUUCUGAUGUGUUAAUUCUUAGCUACAGUAAGUUUGUUUUAAAUGUUAUGUUUACUAUGAUAUUACUUAAAAAAAUGUUACAUUUUCGCCUCUGUGUAAGCACAGAGCUGGUGAACUAAACAACAUACAUAACUCUCAAUCUAUCAUCUGCAUUCCCUUUGCAUUAGGUGUAACACUGGCACAAAAAUCAGAGCCCCAGCUCCAAUUUUUCCAGCUGUCUCUGUUGCCCUGUGAUCUUUUGGUACAAAUUUUCUAGCCUGUUUGAAAAGGCAGGCUUCUACCCCCUUCUUUGAUUGUACUUAGGCAUUUUGCCAGCCUGCGACAUGGAUUAAUAUGAACAGAAUCACAGACUUUUCUGAACACUAGUCAUUUACGUGUGUUUAGUAGCAUAUACCCAGCAAGAGAAAGGCAGGCUGCCGUUGCCUUUGUAUAGAGCCUGGGUAGGUUUUGAUUUCACUCAGAGUCAAGAACAAAGCAACCUCUGACUUUUCCUCAAACUCAGCCCGUAUGGAAUGACUUUUAAUGACUUCACGAACUGCUAGCCUUCAGAUGACUGGAGCGUUUUUUGCUUCUUAAGUUUUUCCUUCUAUGACGUUUUAUGAUUAUACCUUAUGGUGCAGUUCUAUUUUUGUUCUCAUGUGUUUCUGAGUGCUUAAAGUCUAGAGGAAAAAAUUUUUAACUCAUUUGGCUCCCAUGAAAUGUGCUUUUCAGUUUGGGGAUAACGUGGAGAGAAGCUUUAAGUACUGUGCCAAUACCAAACAUGGCAUUCCCUAUUGAAUGAGCCAAUUCCAUCCCCUGAGUCUGAAUAAUUUAG